CAGCAGCCGCGGUAAUACGUAGGGUGCGAGCGUUAAUCGGAAUUACUGGGCGUAAAGCGUGCGCAGGCGGUUGUGUAAGACAGGUGUGAAAUCCCCGGGCUUAACCUGGGAACUGCGCUUGUGACUGCACAGCUAGAGUAUGGCAGAGGGGGGUGGAAUUCCACGUGUAGCAGUGAAAUGCGUAGAGAUGUGGAGGAACACCGAUGGCGGAGGCAGCCCACUGGGCCAAUACUGACGCUCAUGCACGAAAGCGUGGGGAGCAAACAGGAUUAGAUACCCCCGUAGUCCCUGUCUCUUAUAC
rnacentral:rRNA from 1 species